rnacentral:lncRNA from 1 species
CGGCAGUUAUGGAGCAUGCGCAGCAGCAGGGGCGGCCGCAGGUCGCCGUUCAAUAAUACGUAAUGUAUAGACUUUUGAGUAUACGAAGCUCCCUGUUUCUCUAGGUUCACCUGAGAUUUAUCUGGUCUUUCAGGGCUUAAAAGGGAGACAUUCCCAAAGAAGAUUCCGUGGGAAGUCUCCUACAAGCCCCGAAGGAAGGGAAUCUCUCUCCUCAUACCUUGAGUUUCCUGAGUACAAUUAUUAUAGAUAUACGAAGAUCUCUGUGCUCAUGGAGAAUUUGUGUCAAGGGAUUUGUACAGCCCUGUAGGAGACACCUCCAGAGAAAGUAACAGCUCUCAAUUGAUUAGCUGAGGAGACCGAUUUUGUAAAUCACUACUUUUCUAACAACACUGGCACAGAUGGCCAAGCAUUCUCCCUUUUCUCAGAGCUGGUUUUCCAUCCCGGAAAGAGGUCUUACAUAUACAAAGUUACUCUAAUCAGUUGGCCAGAAUUAGCUUCUGUUACUUACAACUGUGAGUCCUGACUGAAAACAUAUUUCUUCCUUUGAAGAACUGUUACCUGUAACAGGCUAAGAAGAAUAUUAAGAAUAAACAGAUGCUUUUACAGCUCGCCUUGGCGGGAAGAUCUGGCACAAAUGAAGUAUCUAUAAGGAGCAGCAGAGUCAAGGUGGUGAUCCUGUGGAUGAAUAACUGAAACCUGAUAUACUUGACAGCAGAAAAUAUAAAGCAAAUUGAAAAGGAGAGAGUGUGGAGAUAAAUAAGAAAAUGAAAGAACUGAUAAAGUCACUUGGAUUAAAAAACCUGGGAGUAAGGGCUUUGUUUAUGAUUGAACUUAAGAGAGAAUUGAGGGACCACCUACCUUUGAUGUUAACGAGAAAGUAAAGAGGAAACAUAUUUAGAGAUACCCUUUGGUGAAAAACAGAAAUGGAUGUGUCAUUUGAUGCAUCACAUUAUUUAUUCAACAAACUCUUAGUGAGAACUUACUGUGUGACUGGAUUUAGUGACUUGCUUCAUCAAUGGAAUACACUCAAAUAACAUUUUGGAAUUUCUGAGACUGUCAUAAAAAGCUGAAGGGCUUCUAUUGGGCUUCCUGAAAUGCUCCCUUUUGGAUCCCUGAGCAGCCAUGUGAGUUUAACUACUCUGCAGGAGAGAGUAUGUGAAAAGGAACCUACCUAAGCCCAGCCUCCUUGUCAUCCACAGGAAGACACCAGACAAAUGAGUUACACUGUUUUGGACUCCCCAACACAACCCAGCCACCGGCUGAAUGCCACCAAAUUACCUUCUAGUUAAAGGUUUAUGGAGCAAACGAAUCACCUAUUCAAUAUCUGCUUGAAUUUAGUUAACUAUAACCAGAUGGAAUAACUUUGAAGCCUCAGGGGCUGGAUCCUGACAUGAACCAGACACCUCCAGAAUUCUAUCCCAAGCAAAAGAUUAUUUCAAGGCCAGAACUCACUCCCUGCUGGAGACUGACUACAAGAUCCACUGAGAUUGAUGUGUAACCUGAUUGGGCCCACAGUGAUGCUAGCCCCUUCACCAGAUGGAACAAUAAUUCCAGACAAGCCAUCAGAGCAGAGAGCAGAGAAGAGGAGAAGCAGCUGGAUGUCAGAGACUGCAGUUUGACGUUGGAGAAAAGCAGCUUGACUUCAGAGGGACAGCUUGACAGCAUGGAUUCAGAGAGGAGAAGAUCACCUUCCUGCUCCGUCCCCUUUCCAGCUCCCUUUCCCACUGAGGUAUGUACUGUGUGACUUAAAUAUUGAGUUUAUUUUUAUCAAAUACCUGUCAAGAAAGAAAGUCAAUUCUGAAACAGCAGAAGCUCAAAGUUCUACAGAUGGCUUUCAAAGGAAUUUGAAUUAGACAUCAUUUGAUGUUGCAAAAAACAAUGACAUCUUUUAUAGCUCUAAACAUCAGUUUUUAAAUUAGAGAUUGAUCUAUAAAGGAGCUAAGUUUGCAUAAUCAUUAUUCAUUUUAAGAUAAUAAUAUAUGAUAGGUACUAAAUUAUAUAGUAGUUUUGUGUAGAGAUUUAUACAUAUUUUCUGAUUGCCAUCAUCACAUCAUCUAAUUAUUUAGAAAUUUCAUUUUCAGAACCUUGGAUUUUGGACAUAGAGCUUUGAAAAAUAU